GAUGAACGCUAGCUACAGGCUUAACACAUGCAAGUCGAGGGGAAACGAUGAGAGAGCUUGCUCUCUUAGUCUUCGACCGGCGCACGGGUGAGUAACGCGUAUUCAACCUGCCUCUGACCAAGGGAUAACCCGCCGAAAGUCGGACUAAUACCUUAUGCAGUCGUCGGAAGUUAUCUGAUGACGACGAAAGAUUUCAUCGGCGAGAGAUGGGGAUGCGUCUGAUUAGCUUGGUGGCGGGGUAACGGCCCACCAAGGCGACGAUCAGUAGGGGUUCUGAGAGGAGGGACCCCGACAUUGGAACUGGGACACGGUCCAAACGCCUGCGAGCGGCAGCGGUGAGGAAUAUUGGGCAAGGAGCGUAAGCCUGAACCAGCCAAGUAGCGUGCAGGAUGACGGGCCUAUGGGUUGUAAACUGCUUUUAUGCGGGGGUAAAGUGGGGGACGCGUCCUUCAUUGCAGGUACCGUAUGAAUAAGGACCGGCUAAUUCCGUG
rnacentral:rRNA from 1 species